UACGGAGGGUGCGAGCGUUAAUCGGAAUUACUGGGCGUAAAGGGUGCGUAGGUGGUUGAUUAAGUUAUCUGUGAAAUUCCUGGGCUUAACCUGGGACGGUCAGAUAAUACUGGUUGACCCGAGUAUGGGAGAGGGUAGUGGAAUUUCCGGUGUAGCGGUGAAAUGCGUAGAGAUCGGAAGGAACACCAGUGGCGAGGGCGGCUACCUGGCCUAAUACUGACACUGAGGCACGUAAGCGUGGGGAGCAAACUGG
rnacentral:rRNA from 1 species